GACGAACGCGGCGGCGUGCUUAACACAUGCAAGUCGAACGGGAACCUUUAUUUCGGUAAAGGUGAGAGUGGCAAACGGGUGAGUAACACGUAGGCAACCUGCCGACAGGAUGGGGACAACAUUCCGAAAGGAAUGCUAAUACCGAAUGGAGUCCGAGGAUGGCAUCAUCCUUGGAUAAAAGAUGGCCUCUUAACAAUGCUAUCGCCUGUCGAUGGGCCUGCGUCUGAUUAGCCAGUUGGCGGGGUAACGGCCCACCAAAGCGACGAUCAGUAGCCGGUCUGAGAGGAUGAACGGCCACAUUGGGACUGAGACACGGCCCAGACUCCUACGGGAGGCAGCAGUGGGGAAUCUUCCACAAUGGGCGGAAGCCUGAUGGAGCAACGCCGCGUGAGUGAAGAAGGUCUUCGGAUCGUAAAGCUCUGUUGCACGGGACGAAAACCGAGCUUGAAAAUAUUGAGUUUGGGUGACGGUACCGAGCG
rnacentral:rRNA from 1 species